rnacentral:rRNA from 1 species
AUGUUCAAACCAGAGGUCCCGGAGAAGUACGACGGCAAGACCCACCCGUCUGAGUUCUUGAGCGUUUACACCAUCAUGAUGCAAGCUGCCGGAGCACGGGACGAGAAGGUACUCGCCAACUAUUUCCCAUUGGUGCUCAAGCCCAACGUCAGGUCAUGGUUGAUGCACUUGCCGAUAGAUUCCAUCUCUUCCUGGUCGGAUAUAUGCCACGAGUUUGUUGGUGCCUUUACAGGCGACAACGUAGUUCCUGACCAGGCAAGCGAUCUGCAUGUGAUCCCUCAGAGGGACGGCGAAUGCUUGCGCAAGUACAUACAAAGAUUCAGCCGUGUGCAAUACAACAUCCCCGAUGUCCAUCCCACUGUUGUCAUCAGCUUGUUCCAUCAGAAAGUGCGCAAUCGCGAGAUGCGUGAAGAGUUGGCGAUGAACAAGGUUGCAGAUAUUGCCGAACUAUAUGUUAUGGCCGACAGAUGUACCCGAGCUGAGGAAGGAAGAAAGUACCACGGCGAAGAUGCUGAUGUGGGAAGUGACUCUGAAGAUGAAGACGUCACCGCCCCAGCCAAGAAGGGCCAACGGCGCAACAGGAAACACAAAGGCAAGACCGUGAUUGCCAUCGAGGAAUCCGGCGACCCUGACACCGCUAAGAAGGCCAAGGUUGACGACCCUAGCAAGGAGAUUGCCGGGUGUAAUGCCUGCCGGGCCUUGGUGGCUGCCGACAAGUCAGAGGGCUCCAACAAGCAGUAUUGCAAGAUUCACCGUACCAAGGGCCACGACCUCCAAAUCUGCCGCCAAGUUGAGCAGCUGAUGGAGAAGCAGAGGGUUGAGUACGAGAGACGAGACAAAGAGAAGGGCCAAGGUGGCGCUGAGAGAUCCGGCAAGAUGCGUGGCGGCCGAGGACGUCGCGGCGACAAGGAGAAGCAACAAGAGAGGCCCGCCCAGGGCCGCAACAAGAAAGAGGAGGAUGACGAUGAUGAUGAUGAUGACGAUUCCACCGAGCAUGAGUUUCAGAAGGAGACAGAGGUCAUGUGUGUUGAUGGAGGUGCAUCAUUGCAUUCCUCUCACCGCCAACUUAAAUAG